rnacentral:lncRNA from 1 species
AGAAAACUUGAGCAGAAAAGAAAAAAAAACCACCCCAGCUCAGCUGGUCUCUCCACUUCAGUAGGAGCCUGCAGCUCCUCUGCCUGUUGGAAUCCCAUCCCCAGUCCUAGUAAUACUUCACACUUCCUCAUGCAUGAUGUUUUCUGGUCCAAUACAACUUACUUCAUCCCAAUGUUAAAGAGAUAAGGGGACUGUCAUCAGACCUAUCACCAAAGAGCUAUAGCAAGCCUGGAGUAUUCAAUGACUGGCUGAUGUGUGAAGAGUCACAGUCCAAGGUCCAGGCUGCAUGGCCGUGCUCAUCAGGCCACACCUUCCAGAAGAAUGAACUUGAGCUCCUGACUCAGACAAGUGUGGAUGCCGGUCAAGUUCUGCACAGCCUGAUCCUGGAUUUAGAGGACACAAGCAGUGGCCACUCAGUCACAGUGUGGGAGGUUCGUCUUGUUAUUUCCAGUCUGAGAAUGCCAGGUGAACAGACUUGAGAGAUGGUUAGGUGCUAGAAUGAACAGGAUUUGGUGACAUGACACUCAGGAAACAGAAAAGUCAAGAUGCCCUGGAUUUCUGGUCUGUGGGUCUGCAUGGAUGGCCACACAAUCACUGGCCAGUUGGCUUUGGAAGUCAUCCUUAGUUAUGGAGACUAACAAACCAGAUUUCAGGAGUCAUUCAUCAUCCAUUUAUUUUGUGAACAAACAUUGCAUUAGCUUUCCAUCACUGUAACAAAAUACCCGAGGUGAUCAACUUAUAAAGAGAAAAGGGUUGUUUUGGCU